AUUGGGAGCCACGCUUCACGCAACCGUGUUUGCGUACUUGUGUUUCGAGUUGCGUGGUCGUGGGGAGUUAUAUUUACCAAAUUUAAAUCCGUUCCAACGUUCCAACCUGCUGUCAAAAUUAAAUCAAUAUUGUCAAUAUGGCUACUGGGUGUAAAAGAUAAAUCUUAUUCUAUCUGUUCUUAUUCUUAAUGAGUUUUAGAUCAUUUUAGUUGUAUUUCUUUGUAAUUUUGUGUUGUACAAAGAUUAAUUUAACAUUUUCUCUGGAAGUAUUAAUCUAGAAAGAUAAUAUGCUUCAUUGGUGUUGUGUUUUGAAGUGUGAAAUGCAAAGUAAUUGUGAUAAAGUUCACUUUUAAACUGAACUAAAUAAGGUAUCUGAGAGACAACAAUGGUUAAAUGCAAUACAAUGUACAGGUUUUACUAGCGAAAUGAAAAUUUUCCUGUCCUGUCUGCUGUAAUCAUUUUAUAUCUGGAAAACCAGCCGACUUAAUCGAUAAUAACAAUCUCCAGAUUGGGUUCCUUCAAUAAAUAUGGGCUAUAAACACAAUGAAAUAAGUUCCCCGACUAAUAAGCCGACUUAAUCGAUAAUAACAAUCUCCAGAUUGGGUUCCUUCAAUAAAUAUGGGCUAUAAACACAAUGAAAUAAGUUCCCCAAAAUCUAAAAUGGAGUGGUAUCAAAGGAGAAUUAAAGGAAAAAAUGAAUGUGUGUGUACUAUGUACGCACGUAAGAAGAUAUUCUUCUAUUAUAUAAUAGGUAAUUUAAACGAAGUAAAUAUACUUAAAAGGUUAUUUGUAUUUUAUUUAAAAAUCAAACUAACUUUCUUAUCUACCACUUUCAAAAAAUUUUUAUUAAAACAACCAAAAAUAAAAAAAAAUAUGAAUCACCCGGGAAUUGAACCCGCAACCUUCCAAUCUCAGUGCUAACGCAUUUCUAAUUACUCCAUCGAGGCACUAGAAAUAAAUAUGUAAGUUUCGGAUAUAAUUACACAACACGGCGACAUAUAGUGUAAAAAUGUUAUGCUUACAUAAUAUUUUAUUAAUCCAAAAGCACAAGAAUUAUAAUAAAUAAUACAUUUCCUAAAACCACUAAUAUAUUCUUUUAAUGACUUAUUUGCACGGUUACAGAUACAUACAUACCUAUCUUGAAAGAUUAGUAAUGAACUACAAUACUGUCAGAACUACAUACUGUCAGUGUGCGCAGGCGCGCGGUAAAUGUACAAUUUUACCCUCAAUCGAUUCGUCGCUAAAGAAGAAUAUCUUCAAAAAUAUUCAUAUUGAAAUUAUUUAUAAGGCACUGGACUGUCUUAAAUUCUACAAUAAUACUAGAAUCAGCUGAGAGAAGUGGUCUACAAAAAACCAGGAAGGAAACGGAAUAUGUGGCUAUGAAAGGCAAAAGAAAGGUUUACAAAGCAAAUGGGACACAUUUUUUUGAAAUAUUUAGGAAUAUCAGUAAAUUGCAUUAAAAAAAUGUAUGAAAAGAUUUUGUUCAAUAAAAAUGUUUAUAUUUAUCAAGGAUGUAUUAUUUGGUAUGGCCACAUAUCGUCAGUGAUGUAAUAAUACAUCCUAUCUGUUUUUUCAUGAGUUUUGUAAGAGAGACUAAAAACUUGUCUUAGAGUCACCUCCUGUUUUCAUAUGAUAUUUUUUGACUUGUUUUGUAGUAAAUUAAACUAUCUAUGAACUACAAAACAAGUCAAAACUUACAUAUGAACACAGGAGGUGACCUUAAAACAUGUUUUUCCAUCUCUCAUACAAAACUCAUGAAAAAACAGAUAGGAGGUAUUGUCACAUCAGCAAGGAUGUACAGUGAUAAGUGCCCUAAUAACUGGCAAAAUAUGGGCAACAUAUUUAGUUGUGAGAUAAAAAGAAAUGAAACUAGUCGAGCUGGGAAAUUUAUCGAAAUUAACCUUUAAAUUUACGUUAUAUUGAUCCCACCUUUACACAUAUCAGAGGAGUAUGUCAACUAAAACUGUCACUGUGACAGUGGUAGUUUCCAAACUCGUCUGAUACGUCUGAAGGUGGUACACAAUCAAUACAAUCUAAAUGUAUAAGUUAAUAUCGCUAAAUUUCCCAGCUCAACUAGUUUCAUGUCUUUUUAUCUCACUACUUAAUACAUCUUUUGUGCUUUUGCCGGUUAUUAGAGCGCUCAUCACUGUAUUUCUGGUAUAUCCAGGGAAUGUCUACAAAAUAUAUUUUGAAUGUCCAGAGAACAUUCGUGGACAUUCAUGGAAUGUUCCAAUAAGACAUUCAGGUAAUGUUUAAAAU